rnacentral:snRNA from 1 species
GGGCUCGCUUUGGCAGCACAUAUACUAAAAUUGGAAUGAUACGGAGAAGAUUAGCAUGGCCCCUGCACAAGGAUGACACGCAAAUUCGUGAAGCGUUCUUAAAAAAA